rnacentral:rRNA from 1 species
UACGAAGGGUGCAAACGUUGCUCGGAAUUAUUGGGCGUAAAGGGCUCGUAGGCGGUUUGUCGCGUCGGGGAGUGAAAAUCCAGGGCUUAACUCUGGACUGCUUCCGAUACGGGCAGACUAGAGGGUAUGCAGGGGGAGAACGGAAUUCCUGGUGUAGCGGUGAAAUGCGCAGAUAUCAGGAGGAACACCGGUGGCGAAGGCAGGUCUCUGG